rnacentral:rRNA from 1 species
UACAGAGGUCCCAAGCGUUGUCCGGAUUCAUUGGGCGUAAAGGGUGCGUAGGUGGCGCGCUAAGUCAGGUGUGAAAUUUCGGAGCUUAACUCCGAAACUGCAUUUGAUACUGGCGUGCUUGAGGACUGGAGAGGAGACUGGAAUUUACGGUGUAGCAGUGAAAUGCGUAGAGAUCGUAAGGAAGACCAGUGGCGAAGGCGGGUCUCUGGACAGUUCCUGACACUGAGGCACGAAGGCCAGGGGAGCAAACGGG